rnacentral:rRNA from 1 species
ACGUAGGCAGCAAGCGUUGUUCGGAGUUACUGGGCGUAAAGAGUGCGUAGGCGGUCUGGCAAGUUCGGUGUGAAAUCUCCCGGCUUAACUGGGAGGGUGCGCCGAAGGCUGUUGGGCUGGAGUAUGGGAGAGGCAGGCGGAAUUCCUGGUGUAGCGGUGAAAUGCGUAGAUAUCAAGAGGAACACCUGAGGUGAAGACGGGUUGCUGGGCUGACACUGACGC